UAAGUUAUUAAGGGCGCACGGUGGAUGCCUUGGCACUAGAAGCCGAUGAAGGACGUUACUAACGACGAUAUGCUUUGGGGAGCUGUAAGUAAGCUUUGAUCCAGAGAUUUCCGAAUGGGGAAACCCAGCAUGAGUUAUGUCAUGUUAUCGAUAUGUGAAUACAUAGCAUAUCAGAAGGCACACCCGGAGAACUGAAACAUCUUAGUACCCGGAGGAAGAGAAAGAAAAUUCGAUUCCCUUAGUAGCGGCGAGCGAAACGGGAAGAGCCCAAACCAACAAGCUUGCUUGUUGGGGUUGUAGGACACUCUAUACGGAGUUACAAAGGACGACAUUAGACGAAUCAUCUGGAAAGAUGAAUCAAAGAAGGUAAUAAUCCUGUAGUCGAAAAUGUUGUCUCUCUUGAGUGGAUCCUGAGUACGACGGAGCACGUGAAAUUCCGUCGGAAUCUGGGAGGACCAUCUCCUAAGGCUAAAUACUCUCUAGUGACCGAUAGUGAACCAGUACCGUGAGGGAAAGGUGAAAAGCACCCCGGAAGGGGAGUGAAAUAGAACCUGAAACCGUGUGCUUACAAGUAGUCAGAACCCGUUAAUGGGUGAUGGCGUGCCUUUUGUAGAAUGAACCGGCGAGUUACGAUUUGAUGCAAGGUUAAGCAGUAAAUGUGGAGCCGUAGCGAAAGCGAGUCUGAAUAGGGCGUUUAGUAUUUGGUCGUAGACCCGAAACCAGGUGAUCUACCCUUGGUCAGGUUGAAGUUCAGGUAACACUGAAUGGAGGACCGAACCGACUUACGUUGAAAAGUGAGCGGAUGAACUGAGGGUAGCGGAGAAAUUCCAAUCGAACCUGGAGAUAGCUGGUUCUCUCCGAAAUAGCUUUAGGGCUAGCCUCAAGUGAUGAUUAUUGGAGGUAGAGCACUGUUUGGACGAGGGGCCCCUCUCGGGUUACCGAAUUCAGACAAACUCCGAAUGCCAAUUAAUUUAACUUGGGAGUCAGAACAUGGGUGAUAAGGUCCGUGUUCGAAAGGGAAACAGCCCAGACCACCAGCUAAGGUCCCAAAAUAUAUGUUAAGUGGAAAAGGAUGUGGCGUUGCCCAGACAACUAGGAUGUUGGCUUAGAAGCAGCCAUCAUUUAAAGAGUGCGUAAUAGCUCACUAGUCGAGUGACACUGCGCCGAAAAUGUACCGGGGCUAAACAUAUUACCGAAGCUGUGGAUUGUCCUUUGGACAAUGGUAGGAGAGCGUUCUAAGGGCGUUGAAGCAUGAUCGUAAGGACAUGUGGAGCGCUUAGAAGUGAGAAUGCCGGUGUGAGUAGCGAAAGACGGGUGAGAAUCCCGUCCACCGAUUGACUAAGGUUUCCAGAGGAAGGCUCGUCCGCUCUGGGUUAGUCGGGUCCUAAGCUGAGGCCGACAGGCGUAGGCGAUGGAUAACAGGUUGAUAUUCCUGUACCACCUAUAAUCGUUUUAAUCGAUGGGGGGACGCAGUAGGAUAGGCGAAGCGUGCGAUUGGAUUGCACGUCUAAGCAGUAAGGCUGAGUAUUAGGCAAAUCCGGUACUCAUUAAGGCUGAGCUGUGAUGGGGAGAAGACAUUGUGUCUUCGAGUCGUUGAUUUCACACUGCCGAGAAAAGCCUCUAGAUAGAAAAUAGGUGCCCGUACCGCAAACCGACACAGGUAGUCAAGAUGAGAAUUCUAAGGUGAGCGAGCGAACUCUCGUUAAGGAACUCGGCAAAAUGACCCCGUAACUUCGGGAGAAGGGGUGCUCUUUAGGGUUAACGCCCAGAAGAGCCGCAGUGAAUAGGCCCAAGCGACUGUUUAUCAAAAACACAGGUCUCUGCUAAACCGUAAGGUGAUGUAUAGGGGCUGACGCCUGCCCGGUGCUGGAAGGUUAAGAGGAGUGGUUAGCUUCUGCGAAGCUACGAAUCGAAGCCCCAGUAAACGGCGGCCGUAACUAUAACGGUCCUAAGGUAGCGAAAUUCCUUGUCGGGUAAGUUCCGACCCGCACGAAAGGCGUAACGAUUUGGGCACUGUCUCAACGAGAGACUCGGUGAAAUCAUAGUACCUGUGAAGAUGCAGGUUACCCGCGACAGGACGGAAAGACCCCGUGGAGCUUUACUGUAGCCUGAUAUUGAAAUUCGGCACAGCUUGUACAGGAUAGGUAGGAGCCUUUGAAACGUGAGCGCUAGCUUACGUGGAGGCGCUGGUGGGAUACUACCCUAGCUGUGUUGGCUUUCUAACCCGCACCACUUAUCGUGGUGGGAGACAGUGUCAGGCGGGCAGUUUGACUGGGGCGGUCGCCUCCUAAAAGGUAACGGAGGCGCUCAAAGGUUCCCUCAGAAUGGUUGGAAAUCAUUCAUAGAGUGUAAAGGCAUAAGGGAGCUUGACUGCGAGACCUACAAGUCGAGCAGGGUCGAAAGACGGACUUAGUGAUCCGGUGGUUCCGCAUGGAAGGGCCAUCGCUCAACGGAUAAAAGCUACCCCGGGGAUAACAGGCUUAUCUCCCCCAAGAGUUCACAUCGACGGGGAGGUUUGGCACCUCGAUGUCGGCUCAUCGCAUCCUGGGGCUGUAGUCGGUCCCAAGGGUUGGGCUGUUCGCCCAUUAAAGCGGUACGCGAGCUGGGUUCAGAACGUCGUGAGACAGUUCGGUCCCUAUCCGUCGUGGGCGUAGGAAAUUUGAGAGGAGCUGUCCUUAGUACGAGAGGACCGGGAUGGACAUACCUCUGGUGUACCAGUUGUCGUGCCAACGGCAUAGCUGGGUAGCUAUGUGUGGACGGGAUAAGUGCUGAAAGCAUCUAAGCAUGAAGCCCCCCUCAAGAUGAGAUUUCCCAACUUCGGUUAUAAGAUCCCUCAAAGAUGAUGAGGUUAAUAGGUUCGAGGUGGAAGCAUGGUGACAUGUGGAGCUGACGAAUACUAAUCGAUCGAAGACUUAAUCA
rnacentral:rRNA from 1 species